rnacentral:snoRNA from 1 species
AAAUUAUGAUGAGGAGGAUGGAUAUAUUCUAAUUUUAUUUUUUUUUUUAAUAAUCUCAUCCAACUCAUUCUGA